rnacentral:rRNA from 1 species
GAUGAACGCUGGCGGCGUGCUUAACACAUGCAAGUCGAACGGAAAGGCCCUGCUUUUGUUUCUUUCUCGUUUGCCGAACGCGUGUGUAUCACGUGAGUAACCUCCCCUUGACUUUCUGAUAACUUCACGAAACUCGGUCUAUUAUCGCAUAUGAUCUCCUGCUGCAUGGUGUGCGUUGGAAAGUUUCGGAGGUUGGGGAUGUACUCGAGGCUUAUCAGCUUCUUGGUGGGGUAGUUGCUUACCAAGGCUAUGACGGGUAGCCGGCCUGGGAGGGUUACCGGCCACAAUGGGACUGAGAUACGGCGCAGACUCGUACGUGAGGCAGCAGUGGGGAGUAUGGCACAAUGGGCGGAAGCGUGAGGUAGCAACGCCGCGAGCGGGAUGACGGCCUUCGGGUGGAAAACAGAUGUCGACUGUGACGAAGAGUGAGUGACGGUAAUGGGUAAAGAAGCAACGGCUAACUACGUG